rnacentral:rRNA from 1 species
AGAGUAGUAGUAUCGCGCUAGGAUGAACGCUAGCUACAGGCUUAACACAUGCAAGUCGAGGGGCAGCAUUGGGGUAGCAAUACUUCAGAUGGCGACCGGCGCACGGGUGAGUAACACGUAUCCAACCUGCCGCUUACUCGGGGAUAGCCUUUCGAAAGAAAGAUUAAUACCCGAUGGUAUAAAGAGUUCGCAUGUUCUCUUUAUUAAAGAAUUUCGGUAAGCGAUGGGGAUGCGUUCCAUUAGAUAGUUGGCGGGGUAACGGCCCACCAAGUCUACGAUGGAUAGGGGUUCUGAGAGGAAGGUCCCCCACAUUGGAACUGAGACACGGUCCAAACUCCUACGGGAGGCAGCAGUGAGGAAUAUUGGUCAAUGGACGAGAGUCUGAACCAGCCAAGUAGCGUGAAGGAUGACUGCCCUAUGGGUUGUAAACUUCUUUUAUAAGGGAAUAAAGUGAGGGACGUGUCCCUUUUUGUAUGUACCUUAUGAAUAAGGAUCGGCUAACUCCGUGCCAGCAGCAGC